rnacentral:rRNA from 1 species
AGAACGAACGCUGGCGGCAGGCCUAACACAUGCAAGUCGAGCGCUCCGCAAGGAGAGCGGCGCACGGGAGAGUAACGCGUGGGAACCUACCUUUUGGUUCGGAAUAACAUCGGGAAACUGGUGCUAAUACCGGAUAAGCCCCCUGGGGGAAAGAUUUAUUGCCGAAAGAUGGGCCCGCGUUGGAUUAGCUAGUUGGUGAGGUAAUGGCUCACCAAUGCUACGAUCUAUAACUGGUCUGAGAGGAUGACCAGUCUCACUGGGACUGAGACACGGCCCAGACUCCUACGGGAGGCAGCAGUGGGGAAUAUUGGACAAUGGGGGAAACCCUGAUCCAGCCAUGCCGCGUGAAUGAUGAAGGCCUUCGGGUUGUAAGUUCUUUUGACGGGGAAGAUGAUGACGGUACCCGUAGAAUAAGCUCCGGCUAACUUCGUGCCAGCAGCCGC